AGAUAGAAAAAGACUAAUGAGUUCUAUAGUACAUUUUAUAAUUACACAGUGUAAGAGGCAUUUGAGCUUUCUUGUAAGUAUAAUUGUGAAUAUUUCUCAUCCUCAGCCCAUAUGUCUUUAAUUCUGCAAAUGUGAUGAUAACCAAUUUAUUAUUAACUAAUUCUACACUUGAUCAAAAAACCAACCUAUUUCAUGAAAACUUCUAAAGUUUUCAUUUUUUAUUUUGGAGCAAACCCAGGACAUUUGAACACUAUUCAUGGAAACAAGGAGAAUACAUACAUCCCAUUCCCCAGGCUGAUGGUUACAGUACUGGCUCCUGGAAGUUUCAGUAUCAGAUCCCUGCUCCCUUCAUUUGCAGAAGAGUAUCUAAUCUACAUCAUGGCUCCAGCCAGUCAGACACAAGAUGUGUUUGGACUCCUUUGAAAGCAGGUUUAGCUGCGCACAUGGACGAAGACAGUUUCAGAAGGUGAAUCUUUGAGAGGCAGCAGAGAUCCUCCUUCCUCCAGGACUGCAACGGCAAUAAGAUUCUGCACUGCAAGAACUUUAUUUUAAUUCAUAGCUACACACAUUGUCUAUUAGAGCCAGCUGUGAAGAUGACAGCCACGUCCCCAGCCAGCUGUGACGAUGGCAGCUGGCAUCCAAAGCGGGUGUGUUGAGGACAGCAAGUUACACCUCCCGCAGCCGUGGUGCCCAAGGGGAACUGGCUCCCGGGAUACGGAGAACAGGCAACUCCAGCACCCCAACACCUUGUCACAGCUGUUUGGUACCAGUAGGUCCCACACCCACACCCACACCCUGAGCAAUGCCUCAUCUGACUUUAUACAUGCUCCUUGUUCCUGUCAGGCAGAUAACUGCUAGGGAUGGAGGGAGCAGAACAGAAAACAAAGAAUUUUGAUAAUUACUCCUGCUAGCUUGAGGGUUUUUUUCUCUUUUUAGAUUAAAAACCUGUUGAAUUUCCAAAAUAAUUCAUUUCUAUUUUGAUAUCCAUAUUCUCCCUUGCUUUAUCAAACUCCUUUUUCUUGCAUCCCCGAGCUCCCCUGUCUAUCCCCUCAUGGAGUUUCCCUGGUGUUUUGUGUGAACCAUCGUUUUGAUUUUCCAUUAGUUGACUGUGCUGAGGAAAGUCGUUGCAGUUUAAAUUAAUAUUGUUGAGAAACAGGGACCAUCUGCUAAAAGAAUAUUGUGUUUUACUUUUGGGGUGUAAUUACUUUACUAGCUGGUAACUUAUUUCCUUAAACACUCAUUUUCUUAUUUAUCUUUUUCAGUCCACAACUUUGACAAUAUUUCAAUAUCUAUCUCUAAAUAUAAAUGCUAUACUAAAAGCUACUAAAGUAGGGAAAAGAAGAAAUGAACUAAACAGAAAGAAAAUCCCAAGGGUAAUUAUCUAUUAACACAGCACCAAGCUUCACCAAAAGAUCUGUGGUGUUCUAUUAAAUGUAAAAGUUUAGAAAAACAAAAACAAAAAAAAAAAAAGAGAAAGAGAGAAAGAAAGAAAGAGAGGGAGACACAGAAAGAAAAUAAGAUAUGUAAAAGCAACAGAAAGCAUGAUAGUUUAAAAGUGGCAAGUGGCUAAAAAGUGGAUCAUAUUUUUGAGGCCAUGCCUCAGACUGGUGAGUGGGAGUCACUGGUUUAUUUUAACAGAUUUUAAAAAAUGUACUGGAGGCAGCCGUGUCUCUCUGUGUCUCGGUACCACUCAGCAGACAGACUGGCACCACUUUCAGGGCACUUCUCUAUCACUGAGCAGUUGCAGAGACAGAAUAACCUCCCAGCAGGAACCCUAAUUAUUCCUUCCCACCAGGGCUCAGGUGGAAUUACCUCCAGUCCUGCAGAAGGCAGAGCAUACAGGUGUGCUAACAAAGGAAAGAAACCAAAAAUCAAACUGCCACCCCCCAAGGCCAGAAUGUGCCCUGAGGGAUGACAAAAAAAUCCUGGAAAUAGGAUGGUAAAGACAAGCAUGAGAAAGUGUUCCAUCUUGGUAGUGGGCAAUGGGAUAAAACCUUCACUUUUUAAGCAUACCCAUGCUACAGUUCUCAUACUGCAGUCCUUGAGUCAGGGACUACCUACCAGUUAAUUUCCUUACAGGGGGGGUUUCCCACCAUGUCAGUAAUCUACAUAGUCUGCAAUAAUGCUGCCCCAAUGCUGAUCACGAGGAAGAGGUUGCUGAUCAUAAUUGCCAUAGACAGACAGGUGUUAUUUCACUGCUCUCAUGGAACUGUUACUCUGAAGAGAAUAUAUUAUCAUGUUCUAGUCCUGACAUCCAGGAAAAUCUCUAAAAUGAUCCGCUGGGAUUAACCAGUUCAAUGUCAGAGAAAGCUGUGAUGAGAAGGUAAAAUUAAAAAUUAAAAUUAAGGUAUAAAUAGUCCCUUGAAUAUAUGGGACCAAAUUACAACACUCUAGCUGGGAUGUCCUGCUAAUAUCCUCUACCUUCCUCGUGGGUAACAUGGAGCUACCUCCAGAACAAGGUAUGGCUCAGUUUCAGUAGGAUUUUCUGGAGUCCUAAGGAAAUACCAGCAGAGGAGCUCAGCAGCAGCACCAAUUUCAAAGUCUGUGUGUAGAAGGAGUCAUUUUUAAGUAUCAUGAUUAUACUAAUUAGGUUCUGCUUAGGUUUUAAUUUGCAUUUUAAGGAUUUGAUUACCAACGAGUAAAAAAAGAGACUGAUUUUCUCAUGUCUUUUAUGACAGUUUGUGACACAAUCUGCACUCUCAUGUUUACAAAUAAAUAAAAAUAAUAUAUGUAAAUUAAAUUAUGCUUCAUUCUGUACCAUUGCUAUCAACAGCAGGUAACUAACAAUGCUGAUUUUUAUUACUAAUAAUAACAUUCUUAUAAUAACAUUCUUACAAAAUUUAUUUCAUAAAUCCCUGCUGUACCAUUUCAAACUCUAACUGUGACCAAGAGACAUAAUCCAUUUUUAAUUGCAAUUCAAUUACCCCUUUUCUCAUUAGAUUAAGUUUAAGCUGCAAGAAUGUGACUACUGUGCAUUCGAACAGGGAUACCUAGAAUUAAAAAAAAAAAAAAUGUCCACAGGAGUUUCUGAAUAACAGGGGGGUUUGCCCAUAGGCUUUUUGUAUCACAAUAUGUUGCCAUGUAUAUAAUUCUAUUAAAAUUAAUAUAUAAUAGUACUUGUAUAAAUUAGAUAAUACAAAUUAAAACAUUGUCAGAAGAGUAUGUAAAUUUGCCUUUUGUCUACUCACUCUGUUUUUGGAACUUCUUUUCUAAGCCAGUAGAAAUCAGACUGGGCUGCGUAUUUGCGAGUUUGCAACACAUUGCCAAAAUAGUCGCUUUCUGAGAACUUCAGCUGUAUGGAUAAAGCACAGACAUUUUAAAAGCAUGUCCAAAGAAACAGAAGCUGAUAUAAAAAGCAUAACUUCUAUUUUUUACAAGAUAAUCACCUAGUUCUUUAGCAAUUAUGAAAGCAAUUAGAAUUUUAACAUUUUGGUAGGAAGAAUAAAUAUUUUAUGAUCUUAGUUAAAAUGCAGCAGUGGAACGGAUGUACACAAGGGUCUGGAAUGCUGGAAAUACUCUUCCCUGUGCAAAGAGGUGCUGAAGGAAUCAUAAGCACCCAACAAUGGAUUGCAGGAGGAACUUCUCUUUUCCAGGAGGCAGUAGGCUUACUUUUAUUUUUAGAAGUGCAUUUUAAAACAACUUCUAUCAACGUCACAAAGUCCCCUUUCUCAGUUUGCUUUACAUUUUAUAUCAAAUACUUCAUACUCUGUGACUCCUGAGGGGUUUUCCACAGCUUUCUUACUGUUUCUCACAUUAAAUAUAUACAGCCAUAGGGCUCCAUGCUUCCAUAAGUUUCCAAAUCCAAUAGCAAUUACACAUACACAUACAAAUAACCAUGCAAGAAAAAAGAAUAUUAAUAGUUCAUAAAUCCAGAUGAUAUCCCUGUCAUCAGCUUAAAACAAUCCUAGGAUUUGAGAGGAAGUUGCAUUUCAGAUGUAAACUGUGUUUCUGCAACCAUGAUUAACAAAUAUUUUUUACUAGACAUUGCCACUUAUCUGGGCAAAUAGUCUGUCUCAUUACACUGCCUUCACAGCAACAUCCCACCCUGCACUUCCCACAAGCAAGGACUAGGCUGGCAGAGUUGGUUCUUCACAUUUUCUCGAUAAAUUAGGUCUCUGUUUAGUGCUUGUUCAUGUGUUCCGGCAAAGAUGACUAUGCCUCUUGUAUUUUACUGGUUCAGGAUUGAAUUUAUGGUUCUACUUUGCCUCUGACUUUCAGAAAUAUAAUUCAUCACAUGCAUUCCACAGUUGGAAAAUGGUAAUAUGUAUUGUUGUUGUUGUUAAUAAUAAUAACAACAACAACAAUAACAAUUUGCCUUCCUGCCUUAGUUGGGCUGAACAGUUACUGGGUCAGGAAGGAGACUCCCCCACAGUAUCUUUGCCCAGCAGCCAGCACAAUAGGCCCAUACACUGAUUAGGCCAUCUUGACACCAUUAUAAGCAAGAAUCAUAAAUAAAAUUCAUAGCCUGGAGAGCCUACAUAGGGCAUCAUAAAUUGCGAUAUUCUGAAGUAAAAUGCUUAUUGUGUUUUUGAAGACCAUUAUUUUGAGGAUAAAUUCUUUUGGUUUGUUUCAAUUUUAUAACUAAAUGCAAAAUUUAUUACAGUGUAUGUUUAACCUUUAAAAUGCUUAUUAUCAGGAAAGUUCUUUUACUCCCUGCAAGUGUCAUGAUCUCAUUUAGGCACGCAAACAUUGACAAUUUAGACAUGAGAGCUAGCACAUUUAAUUAAAAAAUAAAAUAAAAAUAACCAGGCAUGCAAAACUCCAGGUGCAUGCCAAACAAAAGACAGGCUUUGAUUUUAGACAGCAGUGAAACAGAGCAAAGAAUAGCUGCAAUAUGUAAAUGAAGAAAGCUGCAAGUCUGACACUUACUGUUUUGAUGUCUUCAUUAAUAUAUGUGUCAUUCAUUAUAAACUGAGGGUAACCAACUUUUGCCAUAACUGCUUUUGCCUUUGAAAAAGAAAAUGAGAAAAAAAGUGUUGACAGAUAAAACCACUUAUCAACAUACUGCUUUUUUUUUCCCUGCUCUGUUUCCAUUUUGCAUUAUUAUACUUCCCUGGAGGCAUCCUAAUUUAUCUUCAAACCAACUUGCCUACAAGGUAAACUUGGUGCCACAAAUGAGCUCAGCAUCACAAUGCAGAGGGUCCAGAUUCUGUUGUCAGAUUAUCACAGUGGGUCUGUUGUUGCCUGCAGAGCUUUUGCGUAGUUAGAGCAAUGUGUCUGAGUGCAAAAUCCUAACAGCUGAUUUUCCCUACCAGUUCUUGUGUUAAUCAGGUGGUCAAAUGCCUGUUUUUACAAUGUUUUCCAAAGGACAACAGGAAACAUCCUGUUCUGCUACGGCACAGUAGCUGGUACACAUUCAACUGUUAAGACAGAUUUGACACACAGAUGUGAAUGAACCUCGGUCCCAGCAAGUGCAGACUGGUGUAUUUCCACUGAGGGCCACUUCUAUUUGCAUCUGAGGGUGGGCACACACUCUUCUGAAGGACAAUGUGCUUUCCUAAAACUACAGGACUAAUUUUUGUUGUGUUCUCCAGUUUUGCCCGUUUACUCUACAGUCUUUGUCCUUUCCCUAACAUUAGUAAGGGUGUUAAAAUAAGGCACUUCACUUUUCAUUAAAUUUGCUUUGUUUUCCUCUUUUAAUCAUGACUUGGUCCCAGUAUUUAUGUUCAAUCUGUGUAAAACACUCCAGUGAUAGUAGCUGCAGAUGAGUGCUCCCACUUUGUAAAUCAUGGUGUGAGUGUAUAAACAGCCUGAGUAUUCUUCUCAUAAAAAUACCAGCAGGCCACCCUUACACCCAGAAUCUCUGUGGAAACAGAAGUUUCUAGGAAAAAAGCAAAAGGAUACAAAAAGAUAAGACUACAAACCGAGAUGUGAACUGUGACAAUCUGUAAAAUAAAUUAAAGGCAUGAUGGACUAGGGUAGCACUAAGCUUUCACUUUGUAUGUUUUCAGGAUGCUGAAUGUAUUUUCCCCAUAAGUAUUUGGAAUUUCCUCCACCCCUCAAAAAGUGCUCUUCUGGAAAUUUGUUCUUCAAACUCAGAAGAAUAUUGCAAGACAUGAAAUGUGGUAAAUUAAUUUGCCUCUAAACUAACUGCAGAUGCACCAACCCUGCAUUCUGUUCUUGUGAGCAGAGCCCAGACCUCUCUGGGGUCCACCAACUUCAAUUCCCCUCUUCAGGGGGUGACUACUCAAGGGAAGAUUCCGCUUCCUGCACAGUUAUAUCCUUUCUCCCUUCUGCCCCUCCACAGUAUCUCAAUACAACAUGACCUCCUAUGACAGCCAGAUUUAGAAAUGGCUAUUCCACUACUGUAAGAAGGAAGCUGACGGAGGACUCUCUCCAUUUAACCAAAAUAAUUCUGUCUCCUCUUAUUUUUCAAGAAGAAAGGCCUCUUUGCUUCUUCAAACUCCUUCAGUUUCUCAAUCUCAUUUCCAAUCCAAAGUCAUAAUCCUCCAUUCGUGACAUCACAAUUAAUUGUGAUUGAGAUAAUUAAGAUGUCACAAACAGAAGAUAACAACUUCAGGUAGGAAAUUAGCAGCAGGAGCAGAUGAUCUCUUAAGCAGGAAAGAUCCCAUUGUCAUGCAAAUUGCUCUAGUGAUAAAAAAAGCAAUGGAAGAAAAAUGCUGAAUGGGAAAUAUGAAAUGAGUCAAAUAACCUCUCAACAGAAUGUUUCCUCAGUUUUCCAGAAGGUUUAGCAGUCUUUCAAGAUAUUUUAAAUGCUGUGGGGAGGAGGGAGAAUAAAAAGCUGGGGAGGGAGCACUAUUCAUCUGCAAGUUUGUACGUAAUCAGGAGUGUCUAAUAUUUUUCCUGGUGGUGGUGUCAGGUCCAACUGACUGAAGCUUGCAAGGAACCGCAAAAUUCCCUUUACCAUCUCCCAUGUUUAAAUCCUAGUUAAAAACAGCCUUAAAAAAGGGAAAGAGCAAAACUCAUCAGUUUUAAUUUCUGCUAAGUCAGCUGCUUAAAUAAGUUUGGUGAAUCUCAGAUGUUCUGCAUGAGUUCCAGAGUACCCAUCUGAAUCACAGUAAACUUUGUGUUGAAUCUACUUAAUUCAACACCUUAGGAUUUGAAUUAAACAGAUUUAAUUUAAAAUUUGACUUAUAUGAUGAAGAAUAAACCCUUUAAAAAUAACUUAUAGUGCAACAUUUAAAAAAAUAAACAGUGGUUUUAAAUCAAAUAUAAGGAUUAACGGUGUACAGCGUCAUUUUCCUAAUGAUUUAGUCAGUUCAAUGUCGAUCAAAAAUUUUUGCUCCUGUUUUGGCAUAUUAAAGAACAUUUUUUGUUUAGAGCUAGAAUACAUCCUUUAAAAGCGCUCUUAAAUUGUAUACUGUCUUCCAAAUAGAAGCAAAUAAAUUCAUGCCUCGCUGGCUGUAAACGCAAAGGAGUAUAAAGCCAGCUUAGAUCUGGCAGUGCUUCUUUGCUGAGAUGGGCUCUGCCCUUAAACACAUGGUGUUAAUUGUCUGGUUGUUACCAAAAUAAUGUCCAUCUCCUCUGCAUGGACAUUUUGGGAUCUUUGUGGAAUAUCUGCCACAUCCAUCUCACUCUCUUCUUCCACAGCAGCUCCCUGAGGGCAGCAGCUUGGGACUGCCAAGUGUUGGCUCUUUUAGACCUCACUCUUUAACCAAGCAUCUCUAAGGGUGAAGAUGAUGCCUCCAAGCUCCUUAAUAGCUGGUCUGACAUAGGUUGAACUAAAGAUCAAAUAUAAUCACAUAAUCUCACAAAUAACAACAUAAUUAACACUUUUUAAAAUUUUAUUUUAUUGACGCUUAAACUCUUUACUCUUUUCAUGGCCCUGCUGCAUUAGGAAAGGAAGAUGGGAUGAGUUCUUCAGCCAGACUACCUCAGGAGAGCUGGGCACACUUGUCAGGUGGCACAUACUUUUGCUUUGUGACAUGAGACUGAGAUUUCUAAACAUGAGAAUAAAAUAGUUGGGCACCACUUUACAUGAGGUAUUUUUUUAUAAAGGCUAUAUAAAACCCUAGUGAAUAACAGAGUUUGUCCUGGAGAGAUUUUUGAAAGUAAACUCAAAUGGUAAUACUGCUUUUUGUACUUUGAUGCUUUAUCAAUGUCUAAAGCUGUCUGUAAUAUGUAGGAUGGUAAAUAGAUAGAUAGAUAGAUAGAUAGAGAGGGGAAAACAUUUAUUUUACUGCAUUUGUUAUUUAAAAGUUCUUACAGCAAUAUGUGUGGUUUAGAGAUCUGAGCAAAUAAGACAAAGUUGAUGCUGACAGUGAAGGACCUGUGGCUCUUGGCUGGGGAAAACGUUUCUUAUGGCCAAAGCAAAACCCAGGAGAGGACACAGGAAGUCCUCUGAAGUCCUUGUUAAUCCCUCCAGCUGGGAUUUCUCCUAGGGGCUUUGCAUCAGGUGCAAACCUGCUCAGCUGAGCCCCGCACACAGCCCAAUUUGUUUACACAACUGACAAGGUAGGAAGUAUCAUACUGAGAGCAGGUUUCUGAAUUUGCAUGUUGGAAGUCUUGUUUCUGGGCCUAUCUUUUCUGUUCACUUGUGUAAUAUUUAACAGCAGUUUGAAGACUCCUUAUUUAUACAGCACAAUAAAGUGGAAAUCUCUUCUACAAGUGGCUUGCUCUUUGAUAAUGAUGUCAGCAUUUUCUCCUUGAUAAGACUAAAAGUAUGUUGGAGGGACCAGCAUUCCAGGAGGCAUACAUAUGCAUACAGAGAACUCAAAUGAAAUGUGACAAAUGUACAGGAACCAGCCAUGUGGCAAUUGCACAUGAAUCCACCAUAAACACACCAUGCACAAUUUUAUGGCUUAAAGGCUCAUUUAAUUCCUUUUUCUAACUUGCAUAUUAAAUAGCCAUGUGUACAGGAAGAAAAAGGGUGAUAGGGUACUUCCCCCAGCUAUUGUUAAGCACUCAGGCUACCUUGGGCUGUUGAGUAAAUUAAGAAAACUCAUCACUGCAGGACUCUUCUUCUGUCACUGACAGCAAGAGACUCUCACAGGGGGUCACACAGAGAAGCAUCUCACUUUAGAGUAAGUCAUGAUAACUCUUUUCCACCCCAGCAGCCAGAGAGAGAAGGCUCUGAGGCAGAGGACCCAGAGUGGGACUACUCCCUCCACCUCUCAUUAAGCAUGGAAGUUUCCCCACUGACUUCAACACAGCUGAGAUUUUAUCAUCAGUGUGUCUUUCUGUCACAAUGAGAGCACUGCUAGUCAGUUUACUACAGAGACAAUAUAAUAAAAGACCUUUCACUCUUGACUUAACAACUUGCCAUCGUGGGAAUGCACAGGUAUUUCAAUACUCCAAAGCAUCCUAGUUUCCAGUCUAUUCAAAUUCUCACUUGACAACCAAGUGUGUGAGUCAUCUGAGAGCCUUUUUUGCCACUCAGAGUAUGAUCUGGAUAUUUUAUAUGCUAGCAACACUAAGUACUGAUAUAUUGUACUUACUGUAAAGAAAAAAAUAAAACAAAGCAUAUAUCUCACCACUGACAAAGUUUUAUGAGUAUAACACAGAUUUUCUGUAUAUCAACUUGACUCAAAAUAACUUUGUGAAGACCAUUUUCAAGCUUCUAAAUACAUAAAAAAUUAAUACAAUUACAGUUCACUGAAAAAUUAGCAUGAAAUACAUUCUGAAAGCUAAAAUCAUUCAAGGCAAAGUAAUGUUCCAUUUAAUUACAAAGAUUAAUUCAGCCUUUAUGUACGAGUCUGGUCUUUUCAUUUUUCAUUGAAAACGGAUGAUUCAAGAGCCAUCUGGUAAAACUGCUGCAUAAAUAUCACUGCAUCUAACUAGGAUUUAUGUAUAGAAAAACUAGGAAAAUGGAGUUAUGAUCUUGGCAAAACACAGAAAAGUUCUGACACAGGGCUAAAGCCCAGUCCUACAGAUGUCAGUAAGAAGUGACCCAAUGACUUGAGUAAGAGAUACACUGGGUUCACCUUAAUGAUGUAUAGUAUUUCCUUUGUGGGGCCACGUGUAAUCUCAGGGAUUUGCACAUUGUCAACUACAAUCAAAAGUGAAGUGGCAAUUCAAACAUGAACACUUGGCCUGAAAUGGCAUUUUUUAACAGUACUUGA